AGUUUCUGAUUUGCUGGGAGUCUGAAAAAGUCCUUGCAUUGUGUUGGGUGUUGACAUCAGCUUCGUCUCUUUGUUCAUGUGAGAUGGGAGUUAAAAUGACUAUACAGAUUC
rnacentral:snoRNA from 1 species